AUUGAACGCUGGCUGCAGUCCUACCACAUGCAAGUCGAACGAGUGGCGGACGGGUGAGUAAUGUCUGGGAAACUUCCUGAUUGAGGGCGACAACUACUGGACACGGUAGCUAAUACCGCAUACCAUCAGAUGUGCCCAGAUGGGCUUAGCUAGUUGGGGGGGUAACGGCUGACCAAGGCGACGAUCCCUAGCUGGUCUGAGAGGAUGACCAGCCACACUGGAACUGAGACACGGUCCAGACUCCUACGGGAGGCAGCAGUGGGGAAUAUUGCACAAGGGGCGCAAGCCUGAUGCAGCCAUGCCGCGUGUAUGAAGAAGGCCUUCGGGUUGUAAGGUACUUUCAGCGGGGAGGCGUUACCCGCAGAAGAAGCGCCGGCUAACUCCGUGCAAGCAGCCGCGGUAAUUC
rnacentral:rRNA from 1 species